rnacentral:rRNA from 1 species
GACGAACGCUGGCGGCGUGCUUAACACAUGCAAGUCGAACGGAAAGGCCCUGCUUUUGUGGGGUGCUCGAGUGGCGAACGGGUGAGUAACACGUGAGUAACCUGCCCUGGACUUUGGGAUAACUUCAGGAAACUGGGGCUAAUACCGGAUAGGAGCUCCUGCUGCAUGGUGGGGGGUGGAGAGUUUCGGCGGUUGGGGAUGGACCCGCGGCUUAUCAGCUUGGUGGUGGGGUAGUGGCUUACCAAGGCGUUGACGGGUAGCCGGCCUGAGAGGGUGAACGGCCACAUUGGGACUGAGACACGGCCCAGACUCCUACGGGAGGCAGCAGUGGGGAAUAUUGCACAAUGGGCGGAAGCCUGAUGCGGCAACGCCGCGUGCGGGAUGACGGCCUUCGGGUUGUAAACCCCUUUCGCCUGUGACGAAGCGUGAGUGACGGUAAUUGCUAAAGAAGCACCGGCUAACUACGUG